AACGAACGCUGGCGGCAGGCUUAACACAUGCAAGUCGAGCGCCCCGCAAGGGGAGCGGCAGACGGGUGAGUAACGCGUGGGAAUCUACCCAUCUCUAGGGAAUAACGCAUGGAAACGUGUGCUAAUACCGUAUACGUCCUUCGGGAGAAAGAUUUAUCGGAGAUGGAUGAGCCCGCGUUGGAUUAGCUAGUUGGUGGGGUAAAGGCCUACCAAGGCGACGAUCCAUAGCUGGUCUGAGAGGAUGAUCAGCCACACUGGGACUGAGACACGGCCCAGACUCCUACGGGAGGCAGCAGUGGGGAAUAUUGGACAAUGGGCGCAAGCCUGAACCAGCCAUGCCGCGUAAGUGAUGAAGGCCCUAGGGUUGUAAAGCUCUUUCACCGGUGAAGAUAAUGACGGUAACCGGAGAAGAAGCCCCGGCUAACUUCGUGCCAGCCGCCGCGGUAACAC
rnacentral:rRNA from 1 species